rnacentral:rRNA from 1 species
UACGUAGGGGGCAAGCGUUGUCCGGAAUUAUUGGGCGUAAAGAGCGCGUAGGCGGUCCGAUAAGUCGGCUGUGAAAGUCGGGGGCUCAACCCUCGAAUGCCGGUGGAUACUGGUCGGGCUAGAGUGCGGAAGAGGCGAGUGGAAUUCCUGGUGUAGCGGUGAAAUGCGCAGAUAUCAGGAGGAACACCGAUUGCGAAGGCAGCUCGCUGGGACGUAACUGACGCUGAGACGCGAAAGCGUGGGGAGCAAACAGG